rnacentral:lncRNA from 1 species
UCCUUGGUCCUCUGUUAAUGAAUUUUACCUUAUCUUAUUAAAGAGAAUGAACUGUGUCGUGUGACCUCAAUUAUGCCCAUUAGUGAACUAACCAAGCUGCUUUCUUCAUUUCUUUUGCUGCUUUGAUAGUCCAUGUUUUCACUCCUUCUCUUCAUCCUACACCAUCUAUAUAGCUUCUCCUCUCUUCUUGUUAAAGUUACUCCUUUUCAUCUAAGUUUUUUCUGUUUCUUUUCUCCCCUAUACUUCACUAGAAACCUUUUACCAUCACCAGUAUCAACUGGUGACUUCAUGGGUAAUGAUCAUAUCUCCUAUGCACAUCAAUGAUUUAGAUUGUAAGUAUCAUUCUUGUGUUGCUAUUCCAACCAAUUCUUGAACAGUAGCCUUAUCAUGUGAUCCAACACAAUCCUGUACUUAAAUAUUGUAUCCAAUUGCACGACUGCAAGUGGCUUAUAAAACUACAAAAUUUUAGUAAUCAUAUAUGAUGACUCCCCCCACCCCCCCCCCCCCCCCCCCCCCCCCACAAAAACAAAACCCCCCCCCCCCCCCCCCCCCCCCCCCCCCCCCCCCCCCCCCCCCCCCCCCCCCCCCCCCCCCCCCCCCCCCCCCCCCCCCCCCCCCCCCCCCCCCCCCCCCCCCCCCCCCCCCCCCCCCCCCCCCCCCCCCCCCCCCCCCCCCCCCCC